UCUUUCCCGUCCCGCAAUGUUAUUAUCACGUGAUCGCCCCAUUUCCGAGCUCUCUCCUAUUAGCCGUCACGAUAAACUUUCGAGGAUUGUUGAUUAUUUUAAAGGUCCGGUGCUCGGUGUAGCUACCCGGAUCAAAAAGAAUCAGGAUGAUGGAGCUGUGGCGCGGAGUUUCGUGGUUUCUUCGUGUCAAGCCUCUCUUUCAUCGCCAUGUGUGUGUCUGCUCUUCCUCCAGCCACAGAGCUGUUAUAUUUGACAUGUUUGGAGUGUUGAUCCCUUCACCGCUCCCUAAAGCAACAGAAUGGGAAAAUGAGAAUGGAGUCCCUUAUGGCACGAUAGGCCAAGCUAUAAAGGCAGGAGGCAAUAACAACUCCUGGAGGAAAUACAUGAGAGGAGAGCUGGGGGCAGAGGAAUUUGUGGAAGCCUUUAGUCGGGACUGCAGUCAAAUUGCAGGCUUCAAGGUCCAUGUCGGCUCUUUCCAUUCGGCACUUACCGGAGACUCCAUGUCACGGCCUGUGACUGUUAUGAUAGAUGCUGUGCAGCGUGCUCGUGCUGAGGGGUUUAAGACUGCUGUUCUUAGCAACAACUUCCUGAUGCCUGGAGGAAAGUCCUAUCUUCCUUUGGACACCUCACUCUUUGAUGUUAUAGUAGAGUCCUGCAGAGUGGGUUUAUGUAAACCAGAUCUCAGGAUCUAUCAGCUGUGUGCUGAAAGACUGGGAGUCUCACCACAUGAAGCUGUGUUUCUGGAUGACUUGAGUUUCAAUGUGGAGGCUGCAGUACAAUUAGGAAUGCAUGGCAUCACGGUUAGAGAUCCUGGAUUGGCUGUGAAGGAGCUGGAGCAGGUGCUGAAGAUACCUUUGUCUGUGUAUAGUCCUGGAACUCGGUCUGUUAGCCAAAAUUGGCAGCUCCCUAUGACCCAGCUUACCCAGUAUCUCAAGAAAGCUACUCAGCUACCACUUACAGACAACAUUACAAUGCAGCAGCUGAGCCAGAGUUACUUGACUGAUUCCACAUGCCUGUUGAGCUGUGGACAGCAUCAGUUUGUCCUAAAGAAGAAACCAAGUACUGAAGCUCUGCAGAAGGAAUGCAGGCUUCUCAAAGUCCUUAAAGAAGCCAAAGUCCCUGUACCUAGUGUUAUUGACCAGCAUGAGAUGUCCAGCAAUGUCCUAGGAACCCCAUUUUACCUGACCUUUUACUGUCCAGGUCGAGUGUUUAAUGACCACUCUAUACCAGGAGAGGAUCCUCAUGAGAAGAGAUGUGUAUAUGAGACUAUGAUAAAAACUCUCUGUCAGAUACACAGAGUAGACCUGAAAAACACAGGUCUGGACAGCCUUAGAGGUCCAGGUGACUUCAUGGAAUCUGAAGUGAAGAAGUGGGCGCAGCAGUUCAAAGCAAAUGAGAUUCAGCCCAUUCCUGCCAUGGAUAGACUGAUAGACUGGCUACUGUUGCAUCUCCCUAAAUAUCAAAGAAACACACUACUCCAUGGAAGCUUCAGCCUGAACAAUCUGGUGUUUGACCCCGACACCCCUGAUGUGAGGGCAGUUUUGGGCUGGAGUCUUUCUACUGUAGGAGACCCACUUGUGGAUGUGGCUUCCUGUUGUAUGUCCCACUUCCUUCCCCCUACUGUGUCUACACAACCAGGGGUCGCCACAGCGAAUCAUCUCUCUCCACCUAUCCCUAUCUUCUGCAUACCGAUCCGGGAAGUUUCUUGCUCUGAUGGGUAUCCCGAGUGCAGAGGAAAUAUUUGAUCUGUAUAGCAAAGAAAUGGAAUUGGAGUACGUUCCAAACUGGCAGUUCUACAUGGCUUUCUGCUUCUUUCGCCAGGCUGCUAUCUUACAGACAAAUUAUAAAACGUCACUCAAAGUCACUAGAAACACAACCAAAGUAGAAGACAUUGCAGACCAGGCAUGGGACUUUGCUACUAAAGAAGGCUUCCGUAUCUUUAAUGCUUUGCCUGGAGCAGCAAGCCUUUGAGAACGUAAUGACAAUACAGUGCAACAUCAGCGUCUGUGCUGGACAAUCGGGUAUCAGGGAGUUUGUGUAUUACUCAGUAAACUACUCCUCAGGUCCUCAAGCAUUGACAGAGGUUGCGCAGUGUGGCCGGAGUUUCAGAAAAAAUUAGACCUGAUAAAUUACUAGCACAACAUGAUGGUUUGUUUGUACACACAACUCUUUCAGAUGUAAGUACCAGGCAUAAUGUUGUAUGUGUUCCCAUUUUAAUGUUAUCUGAAUAUUGUAUAUCAUAAAAUGGCUUUAUAUUA